GGGAUAACACUUGGAAACAGGUGCUAAUACCGCAUAACCAUAGUUACCGCAUGGUAACUAUGUAAAAGGUGGCUAUGCUACCGCUUUUGGAUGGGCCCGCGACGCAUUAGCUAGUUGGUGGGGUAAAGGCUUACCAAGGCAAUGAUGCGUAGCCGAACUGAGAGGUUGAUCGGCCACAUUGGGACUGAGACACGGCCCAAACUCCUACGGGAGGCAGCAGUAGGGAAUCUUCCACAAUGGGCGAAAGCCUGAUGGAGCAACGCCGCGUGGGUGAAGAAGGUCUUCGGAUCGUAAAACCCUGUUGUUAGAGAAGAAAGUGCGUGAGAGUAACUGUUCACGUUUCGACGGUAUCUAACCAGAAAGCCACGGCUAACUACGUGCCAGCAGCCGCGGUAAUACGUAGGUGGCAAGCGUUAUCCGGAUUUAUUGGGCGUAAAGAGAACGCAGGCGGUCUUUUAAGUCUGAUGUGAAAGCCUUCGGCUUAACCGGAGUAGUGCAUUGGAAACUGGGAGACUUGAGUGCAGAAGAGGAGAGUGGAACUCCAUGUGUAGCGGUGAAAUGCGUAGAUAUAUGGAAGAACACCAGUGGCGAAAGCGGCUCUCUGGUCUGUAACUGACGCUGAGGUUCGAAAGCGUGGGUAGCAAACAGGAUUAGAUACCCUGGUAGUCCACGCCGUAAACGAUGAAUG
rnacentral:rRNA from 1 species